GCCGAUAUUGUGAGCGUUCAUUGUGAACAACAAGCCACUAUCCAUCUGCAUCGGACAGUUAAUCAGAUAAAGAGUUUAGGCGCAAAAGCAGGAGUUGUUUUGAAUCCUGGAACCCCAUUAACCGCUAUAGAAUAUGUGCUUGAUGUGGUAGAUCUGAUCUUGAUUAUGUCCGUUAAUCCUGGUUUUGGCGGCCAGAGCUUUAUUGAGAGCCAAGUGA
rnacentral:misc_RNA from 1 species